rnacentral:rRNA from 1 species
CCUACGGGAGGCAGCAGUGGGGAAUAUUGCACAAUGGGGGAAACCCUGAUGCAGCGACGCCGCGUGAGUGAAGAAGUAUUUCGGUACGUAAAGCUCUAUCAGCAGGGAAGAAAAUGACGGUACCUGACUAAGAAGCCCCGGCUAACUACGUGCCAGCAGCCGCGGUAAUACGUAGGGGGCAAGCGUUAUCCGGAUUUACUGGGUGUAAAGGGAGCGUAGACGGCAGCGCAAGUCUGGAGUGAAAUCCCAUGGCUUAACCAUGGAACUGCUUUGGAAACUGUGCAGCUAGAGUGCAGGAGAGGUAAGCGGAAUUCCUAGUGUAGCGGUGAAAUGCGUAGAUAUUAGGAGGAAAACCAGUGGCGAAGGCGGCUUACUGGACUGUAACUGACGUUGAGGCUCGAAAGCGUGGGGAGCAAACAGGAUUAGAUACCCCUGUAGUC